rnacentral:rRNA from 1 species
UACGUAGGGCGCAAGCGUCGUCCGGAAUUAUUGGGCGUAAAGAGCUCGUAGGCGGCCAGUUGCGUCUGCUGUGAAAUCCCGGGGCUCAACCCCGGGCGUGCAGUGGAUACGGGCUGGCUAGAGGCAGGCAGGGGAGAACGGAAUUCCCGGUGUAGCGGUGAAAAUGCGCAGAUAUCGGGAGGAACACCGGUGGCGAAGGCGGUUCUCUGGGCCUGUACUGACGCUGAGGAGCGAAAAGCGUGGGGGAGC